rnacentral:ncRNA from 1 species
UCGGCUCACUGCAUCCUGGGGGGGCAGUACCUCCCAAGGGUUGGGCUGUUCGCCCAUUAAAGCGGUACGCGAGCUGGGUUCAGAACGUCGUAAGACAGUUCGGUCUCUAUCCAGUAGGGGCGUGGGAUUCUUGAGGGGGUCUGCUCUCAGUACGAGAGGACCAGAGUGGAGGUACCUCUGGUGUGCCGGUUGUGGCGUCAGCUGCAGCGCCGGGUAGCUAAGUAUCUACGGGAUAACCGCUGAAAGCAUCUAAGUGGGAAGCCCUACCCAAGAUUAGGAAUCCAUAUAGACCCGUGGCAGACUACCACGUUGAUAGGCUGGCGGUGUAAGGCGCGUAAGCGUUUUAGCUAACCAGUACUAAUCGGUCAAUUAUAUUAACGCG